rnacentral:rRNA from 1 species
UGGGGAAUAUUGGACAAUGGGCGAAAGCCUGAUCCAGCCAUGCCGCGUGAGUGACGAAGGCCUUAGGGUUGUAAAACUCUUUCGUCGGGGACGAUAAUGACGGUACCCGAAGAAGAAGCUCCGGCUAACUUCGUGCCAGCAGCCGCGGUAAUACGAAGGGAGCUAGCGUUGUUCGGAAUCACUGGGCGUAAAGCGCACGUAGGCGGAUAGUUAAGUCAGGGGUGAAAUCCUGGGGCUCAACCCCAGAACUGCCUUUGAUACUGGCUGUCUCGAGGUCGAGAGAGGUUGGUGGAAUUCCUAGUGUAGAGGUGAAAUUCGUAGAUAUUAGGAAGAACACCAGUGGCGAAGGCGGCCAACUGGCUCGAUACUGACGCUGAGGUGCGAAAGCGUGGGGAGCAAACGGGAUUAGAUACCCCGGUAGUCCCUGAGCGGGCUGGCAAGGCGCAU